CUCAGCAUUUGUUCCUGUAAUCUUGACC
rnacentral:piRNA from 1 species